rnacentral:lncRNA from 1 species
AUUCUCCUGCUUCAGCCUCCCGAGUAGCUGGGACUAUAGGCCCGGCCACCACAACCAGCUAAUUUUUUUUUUUUUUUUUUUUUUUUUUUUAGUAGAGACGGGGUUUCACCAUGUUAGUCAGGAUGGUCUCUAUCUCCUGACCUCGCGAUCCGCCCGCUUCGGCCUCCCAAAGUGCUGGGAUUACAGGUGUGAGCCACUGUGCCCGGCUGAAAGCCUGAUAUAUCUUUCUACCAUAGCAAGAACUAGCAGCACCUUACCCAGUAUGAGACCGACCCAGGUCUGCCUUAAUAUAUAUACCGUAAUAUAUACCUAACAGUUUUUUUUUUUUUUUUGAGAGGGAGUCUCGCUCUGUCGCCCAGGCUGGAGUGCAGUAUCGCGAUAUCGGUUCGCUGCAAGCUCCGCCUCCCGGGGUCACGUCAUUCUCCUGCCUCAGCUUCCGGAGCAGCUGGGACUGCUGGCGCCCGCCACUACGCUCGGCUAAUUUUUUUGUGUUUUUAGUAGAGACGGGCUUUCACCGUGUUGGCCUAGCGGUUCUCCAACUCCUGACCUCAUGAUCCCCCCGCCUCAGCCUCCCAAAGUGCUGGGAUUACAAGCGUGAGCCACCGCGACCCGCCAACACUCUUGACAACAGUGCUGUGCUAAGAACUUGGGGGACUUCAAAAAGUUCACCAGUUCCUGUGUCCAUGGGUGAAAAGAUUUUCUACAUCUUUCCUUGACUAGAAACAGAAGUCCUGAAACAAGCAUUUUAAAAAGGUUGUACAUCUAGCAAUACCUAACAAAAUAGGAAAUCAACUUGGAAAGCCAAUGGCUGUGUUUUGAGUUUAUGGAGAGCCAUAUGUGGCAAGGAACUGAGGGUGGCAUCCAGGCAACAGACUUCAAGAAACUGAGGCUGUCAGUCCAACAACCCACAAGAACUGAAUCUGACCAACAAUCACAGGAACAAACUUAGAAGUAUACUCUUUCCCAGACAAACCUUCAGAUGAGACCACAGCCCCAGCCAUAAGCUUGAAAACAAUCUCAUGAGGGACCUUGAGCCACAGGCAUGUAGUAAAGCUAUGCCAGGAAUCCUGCCUGCCCCACAGAAAAUGUAAAAAAAAUAAAUUUUUAUUGUUUUAAGCCACGAAGUUUUGAAGUAAUUUGAUAUAAAAC